rnacentral:lncRNA from 1 species
UUUGAUCUGACUUGUGAUAAAGGAUUGGACAGCUGGAGUACAGAUUUUUGGUUUGGACAAAAAACAAAAAAGAAUUGUUCAGAGCGUAAUAAAGUUUGGGGGUGUACGUGUUUGGAUAAUGUUGUUUAUGAUGUGGAUAAGGUCAAUUACUUUUGGUAACUGGCAAAGGUUGGGGGUAUUGCCCUUUUGUGGGGCAGUGCCCUAAUCCCCAAGCUAAGAGUUGGAGAGGUAUUGGUAACUGGCAAAGGUG